AAAUUGAAGAGUUUGAUCAUGGCUCAGAUUGAACGCUGGCGGCAGGCCUAACACAUGCAAGUCGAACGGUAACAGGAAGCAGCUUGCUGCUUUGCUGACGAGUGGCGGACGGGUGAGUAAUGUCUGGGGAACUGCCUGAUGGAGGGGGAUAACUACUGGAAACGGUGGCUAAUACCGCAUAAUGUCGCAAGACCAAAGAGGGGGA
rnacentral:rRNA from 1 species